rnacentral:tRNA from 1 species
GGCGCGGGGUGGAGCAGCCUGGUAGCUCGUCGGGCUCAUAACCCGAAGGUCGUCGGUUCAAAUCCGGCCCCCGCAAC